rnacentral:misc_RNA from 1 species
AACGCACAUUGCGCCUCCCGGUAUUCCGGGAGGCAUGCCUGUUCGAGCGUCAUUAAAUACCACUCAAGCUCUUCUGCUUGGUCAUGGAAGAAGAGUAUGCUUGCAUCCUCUCUUCUGAAAUCGAAUGGCGGACUGCCUCAUGUGCCUCGCGUAGUAAGUUCAUCUUUUCGCUUGGAGUGUGAGAUAGUCUCGCCAUCAACCCCCAUACUUCUAAGGUUGACCUCGGAUCAGGUAGGGAUACCCGCUGAACUUAA